ensembl:lncRNA
GUUAAACUCUGUGUAUUCACAUGACUGAGCUCAGUGGGAGUGACUUCUCCUUCUUCACUUGUUCUCUCUGCUCUGUUUCUCUUUUAUUUUAUUUUAUUUAACCCAGUUCUCCUCUUUGAUCUGUUGAUUCCUCUAAUACCUGUAGUCUCUUCUCCUCUCUUCUCCUCUGUUGAACGUACAGUGAAGAUGCCCAGUCAGAGGAAGAAGAGACAGCGCCGUGUGAGGAGGCUGCAUGGACAGUGGAAAUUUCUGGAGGAUCAGUAUGUGGUUACUGGAAAAAGAAAUUCAGGAGUUUGUGGUGUUCAUAAUCGACCCCAAAAAGCUCAGAUGAAAGCUCAAGCCAAGGUUCCAGGUUCACAACCAGAAGUGACGUCCAUCCCAGAACCGCUGACUCCUCAAGCUGCAACAGAACUCCAUGUUUCAGAAACAGAAUCUCCAAAAAUGUACAUUCCAGAAGAAAGGAAAAGGCCAGGAACUUCAGCUCCAGAAGAAGUCAUAGCUCCAAAAGAAUGUAGAGCUCCAGAAGACAUUAGAGCUCCACAACAGACGGUAGCUCCAGAACUAAGAGAAGCAUCAACACUGGGAGCUCCAGAGAUGAUAGAAGUUGAAAUUCUAGGAGAUUUUGCAGUUACAGAGGUACCAUCACUACAAAUUUUAGACGUGAUUACACCACCAAAAAUGGAAGUAGUUCUAGAGAUAUCAGCAUCUCAGAAAAUUUCCACUUCAGAAGUGAUGAAAAAACCAGAAGUUUCAUUUUCAGAAAUGACCAUACUAGAAAGAAAGGAAGCACCAGAAAAUAUGACAACAGUUUCAGAAUUAACAACUCAAAAAGAAACUCUAGAAGUACCAUCCCCAGACGUUUCAGUUCCAGAAAUAGAAGCUCCAGUUAUGGAAGUCCCAAAAGUACAAUCAGUAGAAGCUCCAGAUGUGACACCACCAAAAAUGGAAGCAGUUCCAGAAGUGAUGGGAGCCCACGUAGUGACAGCAACUCUAGAUACUCUGGUAUCACCAGAAGUGAUAGCACCUCCACAAACGUCAAUUCCAGAAAUAGUAGAAGCUCCAGAUGUCACAGAAUCACCAAAGUUUACUGCUAGUCUGGAAAAAAUGGAAGCUCCUGAAAUUUUACCUCUGAAACUGACAGCAUGCUCAGAAUGGUCAGCUCCAGAAACGGUGGAAGCACCAACAGCUGUAAAUGAAGUAGAAGUAACAUCAAAUAAAGAAUUGGAGACUUCAGAAGAUACCAAAGUUCCUAAUGUGAUGAAACCCCAAAAAUUACCAUGCUCAGAAAUGAAAGAUCCAAAGGAUUUAGAUUGUGAUCUAGAUGUGACAGAACCAGAUGUGAUAUUAGCUCCAGAAAUGGAAGCACAGGAGACGACAGCAGAUGUUCCAGAAGUUUUGUCUGAAGUUCCAAUUAACUUUCCAUCAGAAGAACCUGCAGUUCAGGAGAACAUCAUCAGCACUGCAUGAACACAGUGUUUAUAUAAGUCCGUUGGACACAAAUGAACACUCUGGGUGUUAAUUCAACACUGGGGAUUUUUCUGAAUGUGUGUGUGUGUGUGUGUGUGUGUGUGUGUGUGUGUGUGUGUGUGUGUGUUUUCAGCUGCUGUUCUGAUGAAACGGAGAAACACGAUGACAUCAUCAAUCAGUGCUGGCCAAUCACGCACAGGCUAUGUGUUAAUCCAGUCUUCACACUUCCCCCUGUCCACACAGAGUGCUGUUAUACUUUAUUACACUGAGGCUCCACCCACACCUGUACACAUCACAUUUUAACCCUAAUCACAGUUUUCUGUUUUCCCAUCCACAUGAAAAGGGUUUUCAAAAAUCUUCAUCCUCAUGAAAAUGCAGAAUUGAUUUGUCCACACCAGCGCAGUGAGAGUACGCUGUACAGUGUUACAUUAACCUCUGCAGGAAUGACGUUAGGAGUUGUGUGUUGAAUGUUAGAGGAGAAGAAAUGUAGAAAACACCAUGCUGAAAGCUGUAAAAGUUAAAACUAUAAAGUGAGGAUUCAGGUGUGUGAAGUGAUGAUGAGGUGGAACUGAUGUUUAAAUCUGCAGUGCUGAAUGUCUGCCUCUCUAUCGCCAUCUCUGUUUGAAACAUAAAAUUGCAAGUUACUUGCGGAGUUAUUUUUUUUGGUUUGUGCUUUGGCACCACUCCUCUGCGUGGAGGAAGCUGGUGGUUUGAGGUAUUCGUAUGGAUUGUCUGUGAUCACACAGCGGAUCUGUAACUGUACAUCCACAUAACAGUAAGAAGUAACAUAUCUGUUGCUUUUGUUAUGACCAAAUGAACAUGUUUUAAAUAAGGUAAAUGUUUUAAAUAAAUCACUCUACUCAGUCAAGUCAUUGCAAAUUAUUAUUAGUAAAAAAUUGAAUGUUGCCAAAUCAUCAUUGUGUAACUAGCCGUAAUUUGUGUGUAUUAACGUUAUCUUUAGAUUUCACGUUCUAGGCAGUCUAAUCUCUUUCAGUUUACUUGUUGCAUGUUUUAAUGAAAACGAUUAAUUUUA